GUCUCCGGCCGUACCACCCUGAGCGUGCUUGUCGCGUCUGAUCCCAGAAGCUAGCAGGGUUGGCCCUGGUUAGAACUUGGAUGGGAGACCGCCUGGGAAUAUUGGGUAUUGUAGGCU
rnacentral:rRNA from 1 species